CCUACGGGAGGCAGCAGUGGGGAAUAUUGCACAAUGGGGGAAACCCUGAUGCAGCGACGCCGCGUGAGUGAAGAAGUACUUCGUUAUUUAACGCUCUAGCAGCAGGGAAGAAAAUGACGGUACCUGAGUAAGCAGCACCGGCUCACGACGUUCCAGCGGCCGCGGUAAUACGGAGGGGGCAAGCGUUAUCCGGAUUUACUGUGUGUACAGGGAGCGUAGACGGCAGUGCAAGUCUGGAGUGAAAGGCGGGGGCUCAACCCCCGGACUGCUCUGGAAACUAUACGGCUGGCGUGCAGGAGAGGUAAGUGGACUUCCUAGUGUAGCGGUGAAAUGCGUAGAUAUUAGGAGGAACACCAGUGGCGAAGGCGGCUUACUGGACUGUAACUGACGUUGAGGCUCGAACGCGUGGGGAGCAAACAGGAUUAGAUACCCGGGUAGUC
rnacentral:rRNA from 1 species